rnacentral:rRNA from 1 species
AGAAUUAACGCUGGCGGCGUGCCUAACACAUGCAAGUCGAACGCGGUUACCCCGCAAGGGGUAACUGAGUGGCGAACGGGUGAGUAACACGUGGGUGACCUACCUUCGAAUGGGGGAUAACGUCCCGAAAGGGACGCUAAUACCGCAUAACAUCCUGCCUUUGAACAGGCGGAGAUCAAAGCCGGGGAUCGCAAGACCUGGCGUUUGAAGAGGGGCCCGCGUCCGAUUAGCUAGUCGGUGAGGUAACGGCUCACCAAGGCGACGAUCGGUA